GACGAGGAAGACCAGUGUUAUUCAUCUUUAAUAGGUUUAAAGGGUACCUAGACGGUAUUUUUAGCCAUAACAAUGGUACGGAUUUACUAGAGUUUAAUAUGUAAGCAGGUAGUAUUUAUGGUGUAGAGAUAAAAUUCAUUGAUAUCAUAAGGACUGGUAAUGGCGAAAGCAACCUUAAGUGUAUUUAACACUAAGACAAGUAAGUUAUAUAACGUAAAGUAUUAGGGUUAAACACUGACAAAAUAUAUAAAAGCACUGUUUUAAAACUAUGUAUAAACUGACGUUGAGGGACGAAGGCCUGGGGAGCGAUAAGG
rnacentral:rRNA from 1 species